rnacentral:rRNA from 1 species
AUGGAGGGGACCUUCAUCACGACGGAGCUCCGCGGCGCGCUGGCCAAGGUGGCCGUGUUCCUGCUCGUCCAGGGUCUGGUGUACCUGAUCCUCAGCAACUCGUCGAACGUCUUCUCCAAAGAUAAGAGGCUCAGGUCCCUGAGCUUCCGGUCGAUGCGGUCCAUGAGCGUGAGGCGCGUGCUGGCGCCGUUCUCCGACGUCCCCGUCGGCACCGACGAACCCUCCUCGCCUUCGCUGCUGUCGUCGUGGUAG